rnacentral:rRNA from 1 species
UACGGAGGGAGCUAGCGUUGUUCGGAAUUACUGGGCGUAAAGCGUGCGUAGACGGUUGCGUAAGUCAGAUGUGAAAGCCCCCGGGCUCAACCUGGGAAUUGCAUUUGAGACUGCGUAGCUAGGGGUGCGGAAGAGGGAAGCGGAAUUUCCGGUGUAGCGGUGAAAUGCGUAGAUAUCGGAAGGAACACCAGUGGCGAAAGCGGCUUCCUGGUCCAGCACCGACGUUCAGGCACGAAAGCGUGGGGGAGCAAACCGG